AUCGCUUCUCAGCCUCUUGGCUAAGAUCAAGUGUAGUAUCUGUUCUUAUCAGUUUAAUAUCUGAUUCGCCCUCUACCUGAGGACAAGAUAUUAAAUGGAUUUUUGGAGCAGGGAGAUGGACUAGGAGCUUGCUCCAUCCACUCCUCACAUCGACCCGGUAUUGCAAUACCUCCGGGAACGGUGCAAAAAAA
ensembl:snRNA U2 U2 spliceosomal RNA